GUCCUUGUAGCUUACAACAAAGCAUGGCACUGAAGAUGCCAAGACGGCCACCCCAUACACCCAAGGACA
rnacentral:tRNA from 1 species